rnacentral:tRNA from 1 species
UGGUAGAGCAUGGUGUUUACAUGGUGUUUGUAACGCCAGGGUUGUGGGUUCGAUUCCCAC